rfam:Globodera pallida, Lindley, WGS project CBXT01000000 data, contig: pathogens_Gpal_scaffold_2655_contig_1
GAUCAAGCGACUAAGUGCAUAUGGUGGAUGCCUUGGCGAUCACAGGCGAUGAAGGACGUAGUAGCCUGCGAAAAGCUACGGGGAGCUGGCAAACAAGCUUUGAUCCGUAGAUGUCCGAAUGGGGAAACCCACUGCAGCAAUGCAGUAUCCCUAGCUGAAUACAUAGGCUAGUGGAAGCGAACCGGGUGAACUGAAACAUCUCAGUAGCUCGAGGAAAAGACAUCAACCGAGAUUCCGAAAGUAGUGGCGAGCGAAAUCGGAAGAGCCUGCACGUUUUAGCAUUCUUGAUAUCAGAACGGAAUGGAAAGUCCGGCCAUAGCGGGUGAUAGCCCCGUAUGAAAAAUCUCGAGUGUGGAACUAGGCGUGCGACAAGUAGGGCGGGACACGAGAAAUCCUGUCUGAAUAUGGGGGGACCAUCCUCCAAGGCUAAAUACUCGUAAUCGACCGAUAGUGAACCAGUACCGUGAGGGAAAGGCGAAAAGAACCCCGGGAGGGGAGUGAAAUAGAUCCUGAAACCGCAUGCAUACAAACAGUCGGAGCCUGGAAACGGGUGACGGCGUACCUUUUGUAUAAUGGGUCAGCGACUUACAUUCAGUGGCAAGGUUAACCGAAUAGGGAAGCCGUAGAGAAAUCGAGUCCGAAUAGGGCGUUCAGUCGCUGGGUGUAGACCCGAAACCAAGUGAUCUAUCCAUGGCCAGGAUGAAGGUGCCGUAACAGGUACUGGAGGUCCGAACCGACUAGUGUUGCAAAACUAGCGGAUGAGCUGUGGAUAGGGGUGAAAGGCUAAACAAACUUGGAAAUAGCUGGUUCUCUCCGAAAACUAUUUAGGUAGUGCCUCAAGUAUUACCAUCGGGGGUAGAGCACUGUUUAGGCUAGGGGGUCAUGGCGACUUACCAAACCUAUGCAAACUCCGAAUACCGAUGAGUACAGCUUGGGAGACAGAGCACCGGGUGCUAACGUCCGGACACAAGAGGGAAACAACCCAGACCGCCAGCUAAGGUCCCUAAAAUUGGCUAAGUGGGAAACGAAGUGGGAAGGCUAAAACAGUCAGGAUGUUGGCUUAGAAGCAGCCAUCAUUUAAAGAAAGCGUAAUAGCUCACUGAUCGAGUCGUCCUGCGCGGAAGAUGUAACGGGGCUAAGCCAGUUACCGAAGCUGCGGAUGUGCAAUUUAUUGCACGUGGUAGGAGAGCGUUCUGUAGGCCUGUGAAGGUGUCUGGUAACGGAUGCUGGAGGUAUCAGAAGUGCGAAUGCUGACAUGAGUAGCGUUAAAGGGGGUGAAAAGCCCCCUCGCCGUAAGCGCAAGGUUUCCUACGCAACGUUCAUCGGCGUAGGGUGAGUCGGCCCCUAAGGCGAGGCAGAGAUGCGUAGCUGAUGGGAAACAGGUCAAUAUUCCUGUACCGAUCAAUAGUGCGAUGUGGGGACGGAGAAGGUUAGCUCAGCCAACUGUUGGAAUAGUUGGUUCAAGCCUGUAGUCGUGCCUGGUAGGCAAAUCCGCCGGGCUUAGAUGAGGGGUGAUAACGAGUCUGCUUGCAGACGAAGUGAGUGAUACCCUGCUUCCAGGAAAAGCCACUAAGCUUCAGCUAUUGACGACCGUACCGCAAACCGACACUGGUGCGCGAGAUGAGUAUUCUAAGGCGCUUGAGAGAACUCAGGAGAAGGAACUCGGCAAAUUGAUACCGUAACUUCGGGAGAAGGUAUGCCCUAAGUAGGUGAACCUGUACAAGGCGAGCCCAACGGGGUUGCAAAAAAUCGGUGGCUGCGACUGUUUAAUAAAAACACAGCACUCUGCAAACACGAAAGUGGACGUAUAGGGUGUGACGCCUGCCCGGUGCUGGAAGAUUAAAUGAUGGGGUGCAAGCUCUUGAUUGAAGUCCCAGUAAACGGCGGCCGUAACUAUAACGGNACUCGCAACACGAAGUGGACGUAUAGGGGUGACGCCGGCCCGGUGCUGGAAGAUUAAAUGAUGGGGUGCAAGCUCUUGAUUGAAGUCCCAGUAAACGGCGGCCGUAACUAUAACGGUCCUAAGGUAGCGAAAUUCCUUGUCGGGUAAGUUCCGACCUGCACGAAUGGCGUAACGAUGGCCACACUGUCUCCUCCCGAGACUCAGCGAAGUUGAAAUGUUUGUGAUGAUGCAAUCUACCCGCGGCUAGACGGAAAGACCCCAUGAACCUUUACUGUAGCUUUGCAUUGGACUUUGAACCAAUCUGUGUAGGAUAGGUGGGAGGCUUUGAAGCGGGGACGCCAGUUCUCGUGGAGCCAACCUUGAAAUACCACCCUGGUUUGUUUGAGGUUCUAACCUUGGCCCGUGAUCCGGAUCGGGGACAGUGCAUGGUAGGCAGUUUGACUGGGGCGGUCUCCUCCUAAAGUGUAACGGAGGAGUUCGAAGGUACGCUAGGUACGGUCGGACAUCGUGCUAAUAGUGCAAUGGCAUAAGCGUGCUUAACUGCGAGACCGACAAGUCGAGCAGGUACGAAAGUAGGACAUAGUGAUCCGGUGGUUCUGUAUGGAAGGGCCAUCGCUCAACGGAUAAAAGGUACUCUGGGGAUAACAGGCUGAUUCCUCCCAAGAGUUCAUAUCGACGGGGGAGUUUGGCACCUCGAUGUCGGCUCAUCACAUCCUGGGGCUGUAGCCGGUCCCAAGGGUAUGGCUGUUCGCCAUUUAAAGUGGUACGUGAGCUGGGUUUAAAACGUCGUGAGACAGUUUGGUCCCUAUCUGCCGUGGGCGUUGGAAAUUUGAAGGGGGCUGCUCCUAGUACGAGAGGACCGGAGUGGACGAACCUCUGGUGUACCGGUUGUCACGCCAGUGGCAUUGCCGGGUAGCUAAGUUCGGAAGAGAUAACCGCUGAAAGCAUCUAAGCGGGAAACUUGCCUUGAGAUGAGAUUUCCCGGAGCCUUGAGCUCCUUGAAGGGUCGUUCGAGACCAGGACGUUGAUAGGUCAGGUGUGGAAGUGCAGUAAUGCAUUAAGCUAACUGAUACUAAUUGCCCGUACGGCUUGUCCCU